AGAGAAAUUAACUGAGAAGCUUGGAUCUGAGUCUGAACUGAUUUGAAGAGGAUGGUCAUACCAGCUGCAGAAAUGGUUUGGUACAGAUAUUUGUUGUGAACAUCUAAACCUGGAUAGCAAAUUAUUUGUGUUGUGCACAGUACUUUGAGAUCCAUUUGAGCAGGAGAAAGAAACCCAGCUGCCAACCUUUCAGUGGGAUAAUAACACUUCAGAACACAUUGGUCCAAAGCUGAGUUGGGUUUUCUAAGGAGACUUCAUCUGCAUAGGUGAGCCAGUCUGAUUGAGAGGCAGCACCUAUCUCUUGCAGUGAGUGGCAGAGUCUUCU